UACGAAGGGGGCGAGCGUUGUUCGGAAUUACUGGGCGUAAAGGGCGCGUAGGCGGCGACCCAAGUCAGAUGUGAAAGUCCUGGGCUUAACCUGGGGACUGCAUUUGAUACUGGGUUGCUUGAAUUCGGGAGAGGAUAGCGGAAUUCCCAGUGUAGAGGUGAAAUUCGUAGAUAUUGGGAAGAACACCGGUGGCGAAGGCGGCUAUCUGGACCGACAUUGACGCUGAGGCGCGAAAGCGUGGGGAGCGAACAGG
rnacentral:rRNA from 1 species